rnacentral:rRNA from 1 species
AACGAACGCUGGCGGCAUGCCUAACACAUGCAAGUCGAACGAGACCUUCGGGUCUAGUGGCGCACGGGUGCGUAACGCGUGGGAACCUGCCCUUAGGUUCGGAAUAACUCUCUGAAAGGGGUGCUAAUACCGGAAAAUGUCUUCGGAUCACAGAUUUAUCGUAUUUGGAUGCGCCCGCGUUGUAUUAGCUAGUUGGUAGGGUAAAAGCCUACCAAGGCGACGAUACAUAGCUGGUCUGAGAGGAUGAGCAGCCACACUGGGACUAGGACACGGCCCAGACUCCUACGGGAGGCAGCAGUGGGGAAUAUUGGACAAUCGGCUAAAUCCUGAUCCAGCUAUGCCGCGUGAGUGAUGAAGGCCUUAGAGUUGUAAAGCUCUUUUACCCGGGAUGAUAAUGACAGUACCGAGAGAAUAAGCACCGGCUAACUCCGUG